UGGAAGGUUCUCUGCACCCACAUAGAUGAUUAAUGACUAAAAAUAUCUGUUGCAGGAAUAAUAUUAAUCUGUAUUGCAAGUUUGCAAUGUCCAGGCAUAAAACCAAUGACUUAUAGCUUAGUAUUAUUGCAGUCGUCUCUACAGCUACAAGGUCUUGAGUUCAAGUCUCAUAACCAAAUGAAUGAAAAAAAAAGUCCAGACGUAAAAAUAAAAGAACAGGAACUUCAAG
rnacentral:misc_RNA from 1 species